rnacentral:sRNA from 1 species
UGGCUUGCAGUAGUUGGACCCUUCCUUACCAUGUGAAUCACAAGGCUUGAACUCAGGUUGUCAGACUUGGUACUGUUGCCUGCCAAGCCAUUGCCAGCCCCCUUCAUAGAGCAACUUCAGUUGCAAAGAUAUUUUUUGUUAAGAACAGUUUGGGUCUUCCACAAACAACAACUAUUACCUGUGCUCCUAAACAUGGUUUGCAAACAAAGCUUCUGAGAGAGUGAAAGCAUGGGAUUGUUUCCAGGACUUUGUUCAUAAGGGACUUGAGGGUGGGCUGUAGUAACAACACGGAAAAGAUCAUCCCCUGUGGCUCCUUCCCCGUUCUUUAUUGCGUUCACAAACCAAGCCACAGGUACCAUUGUUUUUAUGGGAAGUCAGAAUCUUUAAAAAAUGCCCAGGAACUUACAUUCAAGAGGAGGACCCAGUUCAAGACGGUAGUCUAAGCCCUGAUUCCCCAAAGCCUGUAUCAUGGUAACAAAGGCAUCCUAGAAUGAACCCCAAGACCGAUGUUAUGUGUAGACACGGAAUCUCAAAGAAGCAAUGCAGGAUAGCUCAUGCUUGGAAUCUCAGCUGAGGCAGGAGGAUGACCAGGCCAGUUUCUGCUAGGGAGUAAGACCUUAACACCUCAAAAACCAAACAGAAGGGGGUAGAGAAGAGAGCUGAUUUGAGGGAAGGAAGGAGGGGCGAAAGGGAAGAUGCAGGGAAGGAAGGGAAAAUUCUGGCACCAUAAGCAGAGGCAUUGCAGAGAAGAAAUAAAAACUGCUAAGGGCCGGAUGUAAACAUCAUAAACCGUGACAGUGAUGAAUGGUGAGAGAGGGUUGGAGGCUGGAGGGAGAGCUUAGCUGCUCUAACAUCUGCAAGGCAGCCAGCAGGGAACCUGUGGCUGCUAAGGUUGAAGGCACCACAUAGAAUGUUAAGUGCUUUGCAUAAUGUUGCCAACAUAACCACCAAAAUAGCACGACAGAGAUAAAGUCAGGAGGUAGAAGGUCAGAAAGAGAAUGGGACAAAACACUGAAUUCUCCACUCUUCAAGGACCUGACAGAGCCUGUCUAAUGUGGACACAUUAAAAAAAAUGAGGCGAGACUGGAGAGACGUCAGUGGUUGAGAGCACAUUCUGUCUUAACUGUUGGAUUCCCAGUGCCCAGGUUAUGUGCCUCCCUCACAAUUGCCAGGACUCCAGCUCCAGGUGAGCUGACACGCUCCUCUGGUCUCUUCUGGUUUGGAUUUUGGUUGGGUUUUUUGAUCUUGUUUUUGUUUUGUUAUUUUCAUCCACAGGCAUGUGGUACAUACUCUCACAAACAUAUUUCUUUUAGAGAGAGAGAGACAGAGACAGAGACAGAGACAGAGAGAGAGAGAGAGAGAGAGAGAGAGAGAGAGCGAGAGCGAAGCUCUGGGAUAACCACUCAGCAUAUUUAAAGUAGGCGUGGCCAGUAGAUUGGCUCAUGCCCGUAUUCAAUCCCAGCACUUAGGAGGCAGAGGCAGGAAGAUUGCCCUAAGUCAGGGUCAAGGUCUGCGGGGCCAGACAAUGAGUCCCUGGCUAUGGUAGACUGUACUGUGAUCCACUCCCAAACACAUACAUGAAGGUUCUCAAGCUUUUACCUGUGAGGCACUGAAUGACCCAGGAGCAACGACAAGGGCACUUUUACUUUGUUUCAUAAUGCUGACAUUAGAAUAGAUAAAUAAAUAGAUAUCAAAACAAAUAAAUAUUCUUAGCUUGUACAGAUGAAGACUAGCUUAUUUGCUAAGUUGGAAAAACAAGGUAUGGAUUACUUCAAACAUGAUAAUAAUUAUUUUAAAACUACUUGUCUGAUCUUUAAAGACACACUUAUGAAGGUAAAUAAAGGGCUUUCAUGUUUUUUCUAUAGAGGAAGAGCAUGGGAGUGAUAAAGAGUGAUCUGGGGCCACUGUUCUUCCUAAAACAGUGUGGCUCUCAACCUUCCUGACACUCCCUUAGUACAGCUCCUCAGGCUGUGCAGACAACCCACCCAUAGAGUUGUUUCUGUUACUACUGCACAACUGUUUGGCUACUGUUAGGAAUCAUAAUGUAAAUGUCUGUUUCCCCAUGGUCUUAGGUCACUCCUGUGAAAGGGUCAUUUGACACCACCCCCCCAUGGAGUCUCUACCUACAGGUUGAGGACCAAUGCUCUUCUGCUUGUCCAAAAUAGUUUCCAAGAGUACCUAUGACGCUUAAAGGUGCAAGCACAACUCUUAACCACUAACGAGCUGGCCAGGGAGGUGGCUCAGUGGGUAACAGUGCCUGGAGCCAGGCUGUCCUCUGGUCUGCACAGGCAGUCUGGCAUGUAUGUGACCCCCACAAUAAAUAUGCAGGAAGUUCUAAUUAACGAGUUAAAGAAAUAGAUUGGUGAAAACACAGGAAGAUAUCAAAACACAUAGGUGCACCUGGGUCCCCACUCACUCAUUUCCCAAUCAUAUUGGAUUCUUCCAUCUGUCCCAUGAUACCUUGUACUCAACACAACAGAAAUGGCUGUAGAAUAAUGCCAUCUCUGUCUUGAAGAAUUCAAACGCCGAGAGGUCUGGUGUAGACACAGGAUGUUAGCAAAAUAUAAAAGAUGCCAGAGGUUGUAGCACACACAUUUAUGAACCCAGAACUUGGGAGGUGAGGGCAGGAGAAUCAGAAGUUCAAGACCAGCUUGAACCACGUAAGGAGUUCCUAGAUAGCCUGAAAGCUGCCCCUGGGGAGCUGGGGGGACGCGGUUGGGGGUGUAGGAGGGCUCCUUGACAGUGGCGACGUCACAAGGGGUACGGAGAUAUUCAUGUGGGGGAAUAUAUAAGCUAUGUCAUUCUGUAGGUGUGUAAUGCCUGUGUCUAGGACGUGUGAGUAUUAGAUGACACAGGAGUGUGCUGGGGAGUGCCAAAGGUUGUCACAGCUGACUUUUAGAACCACCAUCUUUGGCUCUGCUCCGGAAACCCCAACAGCCGGAAGCUUAUUCGCAGACAGCGUAAGGAGAAAGCAAAAACAGUCUUGUAAAGUUCUCAGACACGUAAACUUCGGAAAGUAUGGGGAGCAUUUUACAGGUGGGGUUCAGCCUUAAGGAUGAUCGAACAUCCGAAUAAUAACGACGCCUCUUUCCCCUAAGGAAUCCCCAAGGUCUACCUAGCUAAGCCAAGGCUAAGCACGCCGCCCCCCAACCCCGAGGGCACAGAACAGUGAAAACUCCCACAAACACAGCAUGUCACGUCUGACCAAAGGGACCCGAGGAACGUCUAACAGGGCUCUGCCUUGAAGGCUGCAGUGGUGGGAAGCAACCCUGCAUCGGGGCCAGGUCCCCAUGUUGCCCAUGGCCUCGGGGGAUGCAGGCGUUGGCACCGGCUAGACCAGUUCAAGUCUACGCGUGUAUCGGAGUCACCGCAGACCCAGAAGAGCUUGCUGGCAGGUUCGUUAUGCCCUGCAGAACUUUCGGUUGGGUUUUACGGUCUUCUAAAGCCACCGUGAAAGUCAGUGGGCCUGGAAUUCAAACUUCUGACAUCUUUCCCCUCCGUCGGCGAGAUUGGAGUGUCCCAACCUGUUUCUCUUCGCAGCAGGAGUCUUAGUGCUGAAGACAAGAUAAACGAGGCCUCGUGGACAAACUGAAUUCAUUUCAACACAUACACUGAGAAGAAUGUCCUUUAUGACCCGUGAGAAGUUCAAAGAUGAGGAAAGCCUCUUCCCACAGUGCUUGCACUCUUGGGAAUGUACACGUGCCUGUACAGACACCACGGUGUUGGAUGUACCCACUGGCUUUGAAUGUGAGCUGGUGUCAGUGGAGGAUGCUACGGUCCCUGAAAGGCAUCAGCGAGGAUUCCUAUUGCACGGAGUACCAAGGACUCAUUUUUGGAACACAUACCCAACGACAGUUUAUUGUCGGUUGUCUUUUAUCAAAGGUGACGGGGGUGGUGUUUAUUUUAGAUUCUCUAUGAUUUUGUUUUCAGUUAAUGGUAAAAGCUUGUUAAAACUAUUUUAUCGUGUAUUAAUUAUGAUCCAUGAAAGUGAGUAGAAUUAUAAUGACCAAGAAAGAGGAAAUCUGGUGGGAUGAGAUCUCUAGCCAGCAGCUGUGAGAGGGCACCUGGAUCUCAUCCCGGAGUGCAGUCAGCCUGUGUCACAGCUCACAAGAAGGGACAUGAUGGCUAUUUGAGGGGACUUUAUCAGUCACCACGCCUGCCAUGUCUGUGGGCAGAGGUCCCAGGGGGAGACAUGCUCAAUGCUAGGGACUGUCCUGAAUGCCAAAGGCCUGUUCCUGUAGCUUUUGUGAGUUUCAAAUGCAACCCAAUAUGGAGAAGGGAAAAUCUUACUGCCAAUGAAUUCACCCUGUUUUCUAUAUUAACAUUCUUUCCGUAAGAUUCUAAACAACACUGAGUUUUCUGAAAACCGAACACCCUUACACAUACAGAAAAACGCUCACCUGUUUUAUGCAAACUUCCCAUGUAGCACUUGGCAGCUGGGUCCACACUGAGUGAGUGGGGAAUGCACUUUGGCACACUUCAAGUUUACAGUAUUCAGGCACGUGCUGGUCCCAUAGCUUCUCACCUGCCCCAUUACCUCAUUUAGCAUCGCUGUGCCCAAACCUUUUGCUGUUUUUUAUUCAAACGUCACUUGAGUUCCUUUUAGUUCUCUUCUGUGUUACAGGACAGGACAAGAUCAUUACAUUUUCAUAUAAUGGGGUCGUCAGUGUGUGUGGGUGGAGGGGUGCCUCUGUGUGUGUGAUGGGGAAGUGGGUGCACUCGUGUGUAUUGUAGUGGACAAGCGAGGUUAGAGGCAGGAAUCGGUUCUCUUCUUCUGUCAUGGGGGGUCUCGGGGAUUGAACUCAAGAAGCCAGGCUGUUUUACCUACUACAACGCCAUCAUGUCAAUCUCAGAUCAUGACCUUUUAUGUGAUGGUAGCAUAUAUGUAACAUAAUAUUACCACCCUAGCCAUUUCCAGCAAAGUAAUAUUAAACACAUGUUAUGAUGUAAGUCCGUCUGUUCAUAGACUCUUUCCAACCAGAAACACAUACAUAUUUGUAUAAUAUUUCCCUCCAAACUUAGGAACAUUUCAAGUGCUGUUCUAGCUCGCACAGUAGUUUGCCAUCUUGAAAUGACAUUAACUCUGGUCCGUAAGAAAUAGAAGCUUGUCACAUAACUCAGGGCUUCUUAGACUCUGUUAGACUUGUGAUCCUUUAUCACAUAACAAUUUUUACAUGACUCUAGGAUGGUCAGGUCUAUAAGGUUGAUACAGAAGUCAAAUGUUUAAUGAUGAUGAAUCAUUUAGAAAUUUAUUUUAAAACAAUUUUCUGGUGUGUAUGUAACUAUACCCAUUUAUUAAAUAAAAAAGAUUUCUAUGCUCA